GAUUUUAAGGGGAAAAAUAAAGGAAUUUUAAAAAUGUAAAUAUACAAUGUCCCUUGUCAAAUAUAAUAAACCACAAGCCAGCAGUCUUUAAAAAUGAGAUGUUUUUUCUUUAACUGUUUAAACAAACAAUUAAAGAUCCAAUGCUCUCCACUAAUGAUUGAAGAAAUGUUUAAAUGAGGAAUCAUCUGGUGAAGCAUUCCCAUUUAUGGGAGAAUCUGUACUAUGUAAAUCAAUGCACAUAUCUGGGAUUAAUUUUUUUAAAACUUGUGUUUUCUUAUGGUGGCCACAUGUCUAGUUUUGCAGAGAACAACCAUCAAUCUGGAAAAUUGUUCCGGCCAAGUCCUGUUUAAAAAUUUAGGCAGAAGAUGGGAGAACAGAGGCUUGUUCUAGCUUGUCAGUAAUAGCAGCUGGAUGGUAGAUUCAGCAGGGAUGUAGCUGGUAACAGGCAUCCUCCCUGUGCAAAACUGCAUCAUCCAUAUGGAAGGGAUAAGAUGCCAACAAGCUUAUGAAGAUCCAAGUGAUCAAUCUGUGGAGGGCUGGAAUAUUAUGAUACAAGAAAUGUAGUGCUUUCAGCUAUCUCUUCAGAGCAACAAAAAGAUGUGAGAUGUUAG